CCUACGGGAGGCAGCAGUGGGGAAUAUUGCACAAUGGGCGCAAGCCUGAUGCAGCCAUGCCGCGUGUGUGAAGAAGGCCUUCGGGUUGUAAAGCACUUUCAGCGGGGAGGAAGGCGUUAAGGUUAAUAACCUUGGCGAUUGACGUUACCCGCAGAAGAAGCACCGGCUAACUCCGUGCCAGCAGCCGCGGUAAUACGGAGGGUGCAAGCGUUAAUCGGAAUUACUGGGCGUAAAGCGCACGCAGGCGGUCUGUCAAGUCGGAUGUGAAAUCCCCGGGCUCAACCUGGGAACUGCAUUCGAAACUGGCAGGCUAGAGUCUUGUAGAGGGGGGUAGAAUUCCUGGUGUAGCGGUGAAAUGCGUAGAGAUCUGGAGGAAUACCGGUGGCGAAGGCGGCCCCCUGGACAAAGACUGACGCUCAGGUGCGAAAGCGUGGGGAGCAAACAGGAUUAGAUACCCGGGUAGUC
rnacentral:rRNA from 1 species